rnacentral:tRNA from 1 species
AUUUAUAAAGUUUAUAAAACAUUUCAUUUUCAUUGAAAAGAGGGGCUUAGUCUUAUAAAUA